rnacentral:rRNA from 1 species
GACGAACGCUGGCGGCGUGCUUAACACAUGCAAGUCGAACGGAAAGGCCCUGCUUGCAGGGUGCUCGAGUGGCGAACGGGUGAGUAACACGUGGGUGAUCUGCCCCUUACUUUGGGAUAAGCCUGGGAAACUGGGUCUAAUACUGGAUAGGACCAUGCUGUAGGUGGUGUGGUGGAAAGAUUAGUUUCGGUAAGGGAUGAGCUCGCGGCCUAUCAGCUUGUUGGUGGGGUAAUGGCCUACCAAGGCGUCGACGGGUAGCCGGCCUGAGAGGGUGGACGGCCACAUUGGGACUCAGAUACGGGCCAGAAUCCUACGGGAGGCAGCAGUGGGGAAUAGUGCACAAUAGGCGCAAGCCUGAUGCAGCGACGCCGCGUGGGGGAUGACGGCCUUCGGGUUGUAAACUCCUUUCAGCCAUGACGAAGCCCUUGUGGUGACGGUAGUGGUAGAAGAAGCACCGGCUAACUACGUG